GUGCUCACUUCGGUAGCACAUAUACUAAAAUUGGAGCUAUUAGAGAAGAUUAGCUUGGCUUCCAUGCAAGGAUGAUCUGCAAACUCAUGAAAUGUUCACAUUAAAA